rnacentral:rRNA from 1 species
UACGUAGGGUGCGAGCGUUGUCCGGAAUUAUUGGGCGUAAAGGGCUCGUAGGCGGUUUGUCGCGUCGGGAGUGAAAACACCGGGCUUAACUCGGUGCUUGCUUUCGAUACUGGCAGACUAGAGGCAUGCAGGGGAGAACGGAAUUCCUGGUGUAGCGGUGAAAUGCGCAGAUAUCAGGAGGAACACCGGUGGCGAAGGCGGUUCUCUGGGCAUGUCCUGACGCUGAGGAGCGAAAGUGUGGGGAGCGAACAAG